UGAGGACACAGCCUGGUCACUGAGGUCAGAGGAGGCGCUGAAAGGUUUCCCUAAUAGUUCCUGGUGAAUCAAAGCAGGACCAUAAAGGUUGCUGGACUGCAUGAUGGCCUUACCCCUGAGCAGUCAUCCUGUUAAAGGAGGAACCAGUUAGAAGCUGUUUUCAAAGUAGCUGAGCAGAUUUCAUCUCAAUAGAUCAAAGCAGCUCGUGCUCUGUCUGCUUCCAUUCUGAUGGCAAGAAGAAGAAGAAGGAGAAGACUUCAGCGAAGUGGCAUUCAUGGUCUCAGUGGACAGUCAUGGUCACACACUGCAUGUGGUUUUAAAAGCAACAU
ensembl:lncRNA